CUAACCAAAGGAAAAAAGUCACCAGAAACACCUAAAGCCGCCCCUAAGCGAGCAAAAAAGAAAGAGACCAAGGGGCAAGCUACCCUAACCUUAGAGGAACUGACCAUGAAAAGGGGAAUAAAAUCCUAAAAACCCAAAAAACAAACACAACCACAACAAAACAAAGGGCAAAGAAAAAUCAGGAACUCAUAAUAGGUUGUGAAGGAAAAGAGAAUAGAAGAGGAGGAAAAGAGGAACGUACCUUGAAGAAUAAACAAUUGAAUCCAAAAAAAUUAGAAAAAUGUCGCCGGAGUAGGGUCGGAACGGUCGUAGGAAUAAACGGGAAAAAUAAAACUCAGAGUAAAUGAUUAAAGUGAAGGAAAGGAAAGUUUUGAAACCAAGACCCAAGGAAACUGAAAAAUAGCGGGAAACCCAAGGAUCAUGCCAUUAACUCCAUCGAUCAGCACGCGCCACGUGGCCACAUUGCGUGUAGCGCCGCCACUAUACAUUAAAUUCGAAGCAGAACCCCAAGAGUCAUAGGCAGCUCAGGAAAACUUUUCGUCUUCUAUGGUCCUCAUGACACAUCAUAAACGACCACAGAACCUGGGGGCAACUAAUGGGAAUGACGAGAUUACGUCUCCUAGACGAAGCCAACACUCAUGACGAAGUCGUCCUGAACGACGAAGAAACCAGUCACCAUUGACAAAGAUAGGGAAAUCAUUCAAUAUAAUCAAUCGAUGACUUGGGCAGUUACAAAACCAGCCAGAUAGACUGUUGGGAACCUAUUAAAAGCCCCAUUAUUAGGCAGGAGGCGUCACUAAGAAAGGCAUUAACGACCACAACAGCUAGCAACCAAAGCCACAUAUAUAAAUCCCCCAUACUGUCAACAGAAGAGGCGUCAUGGUAGGCACCACACCGGUGACCAUCUCUGAGGAUACAUUCACACAGACCGAAGGUUGGUUCCAUCUGCCUACUUUGACUAACGAACUCAAGCUUCGUCAGUAAUUAUUUAAAUUCUCUUGAAUAUAUUUGAAUGCUCUUAAAUUUUCUUAUGUGUUCUUCACAUGUUCUUGGUUGUUCAUCACAUGUUUAUACAUAAACACUAGUUUUGAUCCUAAAUCCAUAUCAAAAAUAUGAAAAACAUGUUUAUUUCAUAAUUCUUUCAAAUCUUUGAAUCUAGGAUAUCACCAUACACACACAUUCACUAGAAUUUAUUUUUCAAUCCAAAUGCAAUGCUUAAAAUUGAAUUAGGGUCAUCACAUGCACGCACUUUAAAUUCAACAUGCAAAUUGAUUGAUAUCAUAUUGGAUGAUGUGAUAUGAAUAUUGGCCACUAUAGUCUAGAUGACCGGUUUUACCGGGCAAGGUAGGUGCUUAACACCUUCCCACCUUGUAACAUAGCCUCCGAGCUUAGAUCAAGGGUUAGUAGAUCAAAUGCUUAUCCAUGUAAUUUUCAAUUUCUAGAUUGUAACUAGGAAACAAAGCAAUAUACUUUAUCUUAGAUUGUAUCUAAGACCAAGCCGUGUAAUUUUCCAAGGAUCAAUGUAAAUUCAAUUUCAAAUUAAUAAAAUGAGGAAUUUUUCAAUUA